GACGAACGCUGGCGGCGUGCUUAACACAUGCAAGUCGAACGGUAAGGCCCUUCGGGGUACACGAGUGGCGAACGGGUGAGUAACACGUGGGUGAUCUGCCCUGCACUUCGGGAUAAGCCUGGGAAACUGGGUCUAAUACCGGAUAGGACCACUGCCUGCAUGGGUGGUGGUGGAAAGCUUUUGCGGUGUGGGAUGGGCCCGCGGCCUAUCAGCUUGUUGGUGGGGUGAUGGCCUACCAAGGCGACGACGGGUAGCCGGCCUGAGAGGGUGACCGGCCAUACUGGGACUGAGAUACGGCCCAGACUGCUACGGGAGGCAGCAGUGGGGAAUAUUGCACAAUGGGCGCAAGCCUGAUGCAGCGGCGCCGCGUGAGGGAUGACGGCCUUCGGGUUGUAAACCUCUUUCAGCACCGACGAAGCGCAAGUGACGGUAGGUGCAGAAGAAGGACCGGCCAACUACGUGCCAGCCGCCGCCGUAA
rnacentral:rRNA from 1 species